ACGGCAUGAUGGGGACAUUUUAUGAUGAGAUCCUUUAAUCAUUCCCACGAUUCAUGGAACGGCUCACCAUCUUGUUUUGAGAAGCUAGUGAGAGCUCAUCUUAUCU
rnacentral:snoRNA from 1 species